rnacentral:rRNA from 1 species
AUUGAACGCUGGCGGCAGGCCUAACACAUGCAAGUCGAGCGGAUGAAGGGAGCUUGCUCCUGGAUUCAGCGGCGGACGGGUGAGUAAUGCCUAGGAAUCUGCCUGGUAGUGGGGGAUAACGUCCGGAAACGGGCGCUAAUACCGCAUACGUCCUGAGGGAGAAAGUGGGGGAUCUUCGGAUCUCACGCUAUCAGAUGAGCCUAGGUCGGAUUAGCUAGUUGGUGGGGUAAAGGCCUACCAAGGCGACGAUCCGUAACUGGUCUGAGAGGAUGAUCAGUCACACUGGAGCUGAGACACGGUCCAGACUCCUACGGGAGGCAGCAGUGGGGAAUAUUGGACAAUGGGCGAAAGCCUGAUCCAGCCAUGCCGCGUGUGUGAAGAAGGUCUUCGGAUUGUAAAGCACUUUAAGUUGGGAGGAAGGGCAGUAAGUUAAUACCUUGCUGUUUUGACGUUACCAACAGAAUAAGCACCGGCUAACUUCGUG